UACAGAUCACGCGACGCUGCCGCGCUGCACACUCACUACUACGUGCUAAAUUACAGAUUGAAUAAAGUAUGAAAUACGCUGUGAAAAAUGUGAAAUGUUAAACUUUAAUAAAUUAUAAGUAAUAAGAAGUUAUGUGUAUGAGAAUGUAUGCUGCGAACAUAACGAACCACUACUAUGUAGUAGGUAAUUACACAAACAUGGAGGGAUGUUGUUUGAAAAUUCUGUCUGCACGUCGCGAAUAACACUGUUGUCGCGCAGACUAGGAUCCAACCUAUUCCAACAAUGAGUGGAGUUGAAGGAGAACGAGCCCAUGAAUGCUGCAGACUUGUGCUGUGGAGUCAGGAGCAAGUACGAGGACGCCCUGGUGCGGUGAGAGUUGAAGUCACGUGACCACCGUAACUUGUUAUACAAAUAUUCAGGCACCCUUUUUUGU